AAACAAAUAGCUUACAGUUAAAGCAUAGCACUGAAGAUGCUACGACAGGAUUAUCCUUUUGUUUA
rnacentral:tRNA from 1 species